UACGUAGGGUCCGAGCGUUGUCCGGAAUUAUUGGGCGUAAAGGGCUCGUAGGCGGUUUGUCGCGUCGGGGAGUGAAAACACGGGGCUUAACCCCGUGCCUGCUUCCGAUACGGGCAGACUAGAGGUAUGCAGGGGAGAACGGAAUUCCUGGUGUAGCGGUGAAAUGCGCAGAUAUCAGGAGGAACACCGGUGGCGAAAGGCGGCAUCCUGGACCGACACUGACGUGAGGAGCGAAAGCCAGGGGAGCAAACGGG
rnacentral:rRNA from 1 species